UGGUUCUGGCAUCGAUGAAGAACGCAGCGAAAUGCGAUAAGUAAUGUGAAUUGCAGAAUUCAGUGAAUCAUCGAAUCUUUGAACGCACAUUGCGCCCUUUGGUAUUCCGAAGGGCAUGCCUGUUCGAGCGUCAUUAAAACCUCAAGUAAUCUUGGUAUUGAGCUCUGUCGGUGUCGACAAGCUUGAAAUUGAGCUUUGGACUUGAUAGUGUUCAGCUGCUGUGAAAAUUGAGCUGCUCCCUUUCAAUCAUCCAUAGACCUCUCUCUUAAUUAACCUCGAAUCAGGUAGGGAUACCCGCUGA
rnacentral:misc_RNA from 1 species